GCAAGACCGACCUCAGUUCAGGUGAGAUUACCCCCUGAAUUUAAGCAUAUUAAUAAGGCGGAGGAAAAGAAACUAACCAGGAUUCCCUUAGUAGCUGCGAGCGAAGCGGGAGAAGCCCAGCGCUGAAUCCUCACGGGCCCCGCCCGGCGGGAAAUGUAGCGUUAAGGAGUGUCUGUUAACACGGCGUCUCGCAUCUCGCUCAAGUCCAACUUGAACGGGGCCACACAGAGGGUGAUAUGCCCGUGUAGCAGUUGCGGGCGUCGUGUAGGCACCUCCUCAGAGUCGGUUUGCUUGAGAGUGCAGACCUAAGUGGGUGGUAAACUCCAUCUAAGGCUAAAUAUGACCACGAGACCGAUAGCAUACAAGUACCGUGAGGGAAAGGUGAAAAGAACUUUGAAGAGAGAGUUCAAGAGUACGUGAAACUGAGCUGAUGAAAGCGGACAGAAUCGAAAAGUGCGAACAGAGUUGAUUCACGCCGACCGCUGAGGCAGGUUGGGGUGGAGACGGCGGCUGGAGGCUUCGCGGAGCAAUCCGUUGAGUUUUCCGCGUUGCUCCGCUCUGGCUCUGUCCGAGGCGGGAGGCUGCACUUCUACUUAGUAGCACGUCGCGGCUCGUUGGGUGGUCGUCCUAAGGCCCGCGGUGGAGACUUCACCUUGUGUGUUGACCCGCGGUGUCCCGGUCGGCUCUCGACGGUGCUGUACGGGCGAGGUCUUUGUUCUGAGCGGGGUUAAACCGGCACUCAGUCUGGCCUCGUCGGUCCGCGGCGCUUCUGCUUUCGAUCCCUGUCCAACCCGUCUUGAAACACGGACCAAGGAGUCUAGCAUGUGCGCGAGUCAUUGGGCUUACGAAACCUAAAGGCGAAAUGAAAGUAAAGGUCGAGUUUACUCGUUCUUAGGGGUGAUGGUCGCGCUAACCAUGCCGGCCCGCAACCCCGGGGCGUCACAUUCUCUUUGAGGGGUGGCGUACCUUGAGCGUACAUGUUGGUACCCGAAAGAUGGUGAACUAUGCCUGGCCAGGGUGAAGUCAGGGGAAACCCUGAUGGAAGCCCGUAGCGAUUCUGACGUGCAAAUCGAUCGUCAGAGCUGGGUAUAGGGGCGAAAGACUAAUCGAACCAUCUAGUAGCUGGUUCCCUCUGAAGUUUCCCUCAGGAUAGCUGGCAUUCGUGAAAAGUCUCAUCCGGUAAAGCGAAUGAUUAGAGGCCUUGGGGCCGAAACGACCUCAACCUAUUCUCAAACUUUAAAUGGGUGAGAACUCUGGCUUGCUUAAUUGAAGCUACGAGUUCUUCCGGAUUUUGAGUGCCAAGUGGGCCAAUUUUGGUAAGCAGAACUGGCGCUGUGGGAUGAACCAAACGCGGAGUUAAAGCGCCUAAGACGACGCUGAUGGGAUACCAGAAAAGGCGUUGGUUGCUGAAGACAGCAGGACGGUGGCCAUGGAAGUUGGAAUCCGCUAAGGAGUGUGUAACAACUCACCUGCCGAAGCAACUAGCCCUGAAAAUGGAUGGCGCUGAAGCGUCGCGCUUAUACUCGGCCGUCAGGGCAAGAGAGGCCGGGCUUGCCCGCCAUGAAGCUCUGACGAGUAGGAGGGUCGCGUCGGUGUGCGCAGAAGGGUCUGGGCGUGAGCCUGCCUGGAGCCGCCGACGGUGCAGAUCUUGGUGGUAGUAGCAAAUACUCCAGAGAGGCCCUGGAGGACUGAUGUGGUAGAAGGGUUUCGUGUGAACAGCCGUUGCACACGAGUCAGUCGAUCCUAAGCCCUAGGAGAAAUCCGAAGUCGAUGUGCGAGUCUUGCUAUGCUUUUUGCCCUGUGCGAAAAACAAACAGAGGUGCAGACCGCCGUCGGGCGAAAGGGAAUCCGGUUCCUAUUCCGGAACCCAGCAUCGGAACCGUUCCAAUCGGGCCCUUAAAGCUCGUCAGGGUAACCUAACAUGCCCCGGAGACGCCGUCGGGAGCUGCCGGGAGAGUUAUCUUUUCUGUAUAAGUGCGCACACCCCCUGGAAGCCUCUAGCAGGGAGAUAGGGGGCAGCGCGCGAAGAGCAUCGCACUUGCGGCGACGUCGGCAGCGUCCUCUCGGACCUUGAAAAUCCAGGUGAGGGCCACGUGGACAUCCGAUCUGGUUCGUACCCAUAUCCGCAGCAGGUCUCCAAGGUGAAUAGCCUCUAGUCGAUACAAUAAUGUAGGUAAGGGAAGUCGGCAAAUUGGAUCCGUAACUUCGGGAUAAGGAUUGGCUCUGAGGAUCAGGCGACGUCGGGCUUGUCAGAGAAGCGGUCGGUUCUUGUGUCGGAUGCCGGGCCUGGGUGCGGUCGAACUUCGGUGAGAUCAAUCCCGGUCCCAGCGCUUCGGCCUACCCCGUGGACCUUUCAAGCUUCAGGGGGCCGUGGAUCACGGCGGCCGGGCAACCGGUCGUCCCGCGCGUCUCCUACGGCCACCAUCUAAAGAACAACUUAGAACUGGCACUGACCAGGGGAAUCCGACUGUCUAAUUAAAACAAAGCAUUGCGAUGGACC
rnacentral:rRNA from 1 species